rnacentral:rRNA from 1 species
AUUGAACGCUGGCGGCAUGCUUUACACAUGCAAGUCGAACGGUAACAGGGUGCUUGCACCGCUGACGAGUGGCGAACGGGUGAGUAAUGCGUCGGAACGUGCCGAGUAGUGGGGGAUAACGCAGCGAAAGUUGUGCUAAUACCGCAUACGUACUGAGGUAGAAAGUGGGGGACCUUCGGGCCUCACGCUAUUCGAGCGGCCGACGUCUGAUUAGCUAGUAGGUGAGGUAAAGGCUCACCUAGGCGACGAUCAGUAGCGGGUCUGAGAGGAUGCUCCGCCACACUGGGACUGAGAAACGGCCCAGACUCCUACGGGAGGCAGCAGUGGGGAAUUUUGGACAAUGGGCGAAAGCCUGAUCCAGCCAUGCCGCGUGUCUGAAGAAGGCCUUCGGGUUGUAAAGGACUUUUGUCAGGGAGGAAAUCCCUAGUGCUAAUAACACUGGGGGAUGACAGUACCUGAAGAAUAAGCACCGGCUAACUACGUGCCAGCCGCCGCCGUAAUAC